GGGCUUAGCUCAGCCGGUAGAGCACCUGCUUUGCAAGCAGGGGGUCGUCGGUUUGAUCCCGACAGGCUCCCCC
rnacentral:tRNA from 1 species